rnacentral:tRNA from 1 species
GGAAGUAGCUCAACGGUAGAGCGCCGGACUGUCUAUCCGGAGGCUGCGGGUUCAAAUCCCGUCUUUC